CCAAUGUCCUGGAUGCUCUGGAGGCAAACUGCCUGGUUCAAGUCUUACCAACUCCCUUACUAACUGUGAGACCUUGGGGGAGCUAAUUAGACUCUCUCCUCCGUGAAAUGAGAUUAAUAAGCCUUACCUACACCGUAAUAGGACAGUUAAAUGAGAAAAUAGACACAGAACAGGUAGAGCAGUGCCAAGUGCACACAGAAAGCCAGUGUGAGAAUGAAACAGAGAAAAAAGCAGAGAAAAAAGCAAGCCAAGAGCAUAAACUAGUAUGAGUCACGUUUCUGUCAUUUCCCAUGCAUAGGUCCUGACUAAAACACUGGAGCAUCGACCGGGAUUGAAAAAAAAGUGGGAAAUGAGGGAUGAGAGGGCGGAUCAUUUUUGCCGUGCUAAACAACCGGCUUUUUCUCCAGAUGGCAGUGGCAAGUCAGAGAAGGAUGUGAAGAAGAAUAUGAAGAAAUACUAAGAAGGAAAUAAACUAGGACUGUCCUGAACAAAAAGACCCCUGUUGACAUUUUAAAAGCAGAAGUUGUACAUGUACAAAUUAGAAAGUAUAAAUGGCACAGAAAGGCACAAGAUGAAAAGAUUUCCCCUGUCCAUCUCUCUCCCCAGAGGGCAGCCUUUCAUCAGCUCCCGGCAUCAGGACCACUUCUCUCUUUAUCAAGCACUCACCCAAGUUCCCCGACCGGGGAUCGAACCCGCGUCCCCUGCAGUGGAAGCACAGAGUCCUAACCACUGGACCACCAGGGAAUUCCUCUUCAGAGAAAUUGUAAUGACACAUAACAAAGGUUUCCGUGUUGUAACUUUGUUUUACCGUGAUGUUGACAGUUUAUUCUCUUCCCAAACUUUUGCCUGGUUUCAUGUUCAGGUAAAAGCUAAGAAGUGUUUGAAAGGAAAUUCAACCAACAAACUUGUAAAGAUAAUUUUUCAUUCAAUAUGCCAAACAAGACACUACUAUUUAACAGCAAGCCAUACUACAUGCAAUACAUUUUUGAUGGUUUAAAAAGCAACAAAUUGACUUUAGAACAUAAAGGAAUACUUAAAUAUUACUCACAGAAGAAGAAAUAGCUAAAUGUCCUCUUGUAUCUGAAAAAGACUCAAAAUGUUCUAGAUUUUUUUUUCUUUUGGCCCGAUUAGGAAAGAAGAAAUAACUAAUAAACUAUGUAAAUACAUUAGUUAAAAGAAAACAAGAUAAAGAAACAGGAAAUAAAUCAACUAUACUUCAAUUUAAAAAAAAAGAUAAAACUUUUCUUUUAUGCCCACACACAAAAAAGGAAGAGACGGGAAGGAACAGAAUGUCAGAGUCAGCCUGCUAAUUUUGAUGAGGAAGCUCAUUGUAACUACUAACACAAACCGAAAAUCUGCUGUUUACUAAAGUAGGAGGAUGUAUAACAACUGUAGCUUUAAUUCCAUAUAAAUGGAGCUAAAAAUGCACUACAGCUUGUGGUCACUUGCUAGCUACAUGCACGCAGGUAUUUCGGUAUUUGUUUUGCUUUGUUCAUUAAUAAAAAAUCAGCUAAUUCUAAAAAACAAAACA